rnacentral:rRNA from 1 species
AGCAGAGAUGCUUUAGUGCCUUCGGGAACUCUGAGACAGGUGCUGCAUGGCUGUCGUCAGCUCGUGUUGUGAAAUGUUGGGUUAAGUCCCGNAACGAGCGCAACCCUUAUCCUUGUUGCCAGCACGUAAUGGUGGGAACUCAAAGGAGACUGCCGGUGAUAAACCGGAGGAAGGUGGGGAUGACGUCAAGUCAUCAUGGCCCUUACGAGUAGGGCUACACACGUGCUACAAUGGCGCAUACAAGGAGAAGCGACCUCGCGAGAGCAAGCGGACCUCAUAAAGUGCGUCGUAGUCCGGAUUGGAGUCUGCAACUCGACUCCAUGAAGUCGGAAUCGCUAGUAAUCGUAAAUCAGAAUGUUACGGUGAAUACGUUCCCGGGCCUUGUACACACCGCCCGUCACACCAUGGGAGUGGGUUGCAAAAGAAGUAGAUAGCUUAACCUUCGGGAGGGCGUUUACCACUUUGUGAUUCAUGACUGGGGUGAAGUCGUAACAAGGUAAGCGUAGUGCU